rnacentral:rRNA from 1 species
CACGUAGGGCGCGAGCGUUGUCCGGAAUUAUUGGGCGUAAAGAGCUCGUAGGCGGCCUGUUGCGUCCGCUGUGAAAGCCCGGGGCUUAACCCCGGGUCGGCAGUGGAUACGGGCAGGCUAGAGGUAGGUAGGGGAGAAUGGAAUUCCCGGUGUAGCGGUGAAAUGCGCAGAUAUCGGGAGGAACACCUGUGGCGAAAGCGGCUCACUGGACCGCAACUGACGCUGAGGCGCGAAAGCUAGGGGAGCAAACAGG